UUUUGGGUAAAACAAUGUUUUCGUCGAUUAAUACAAUAUAGCUUUCGCUAAAAUCGACCAACAAACAAAAAUUUUUCUACCCAGAACUACGUAAGCCUUGAUUUCUCUUUUGAGAUACGUAGGAGCAGGAUUUGUAAAUCUUGUCAGGCCCACUAAUAAAAAACUUAGGUUUAGUCAUUCGUCAAAAAAUCAAAAAAACAUUUCUUCUCUCUU
rnacentral:lncRNA from 1 species